CAGCCGCCGCGGGAAUACGUAGGGUGCAAGCGUUAAUCGGAAUUACUGGGCGUAAAGCGUGCGCGGGCGGUUAUAUAAGUCAGAUGUGAAAUCCCCGGGCUCAACCUGGGAACUGCAUUUGAGACUGUAUGGCUAGAGUGUGUCAGAGGGGGGUAGAAUUCCACGUGUAGCAGUGAAAUGCGUAGAUAUAGGAAGGAACACCAGUGGCGAAGGCGACCACCUGGACUGAUACUGACACUGAGGUGCGAAAGCGUGGGGAGCAAACAGGAUUAGAUACCCCAGUAGUCCCUGUCUCUUAUAC
rnacentral:rRNA from 1 species